GGGGUUGUAGCUCAGUGGCAGAGUGCUUGCCUCACAUGUAUGAGGCACUGGGUUCCAUCCUCAGUUCCA
rnacentral:tRNA from 1 species